rnacentral:rRNA from 1 species
UACGAAGGGUGCAAGCGUUACUCGGAAUUACUGGGCGUAAAGCGUGCGUAGGUGGUUUGUUAAGUCUGAUGUGAAAGCCCUGGGCUCAACCUGGGAAUUGCAUUGGAUACUGGCAGGCUAGAGUGCGGUAGAGGGUAGUGGAAUUCCCGGUGUAGCAGUGAAAUGCGUAGAGAUCGGGAGGAACACCAGUGGCGAAGGCGACUACCUGGACCAGCACUGACACUGAGGUACGAAAGCGUGGGGGAGCAAACAGG